rfam:Nicotiana attenuata strain TT chromosome 9, whole genome shotgun sequence.
AUUGUGAUGAGGAUAGUGUCUGAGCAGCCCCUUGAACCUCUCCCAAGCUGAGUAUAAAGACUCCCCUGCUUUCUGUUUGAAGGAAACUAUUUCACUUCUGAUCUU